rnacentral:lncRNA from 1 species
UCCAUGAAGGGCUGAGCAACAAAACCUUAGGCUUACCCCAGGCGAGCAUUCAAAAGCAUUUAAGAGAAGCACAGAAAACAAAAGAAACAAACACAACCUGUCCUUACCCGCUUCUUAAAAAAUUGAAAGGCUGAGCAUUUCUUGACUGGGAAUCCAUUCAUGUCUUUGUUUACCAUUUUCCACAGUGAGGAGUUCACAGUUAUAGAUCCAGGGUGGCACCCGCUUGGUUAGGGCAUCUGUUUCCGCGGUUGGUUUCCCUCCUGCAAACAGUGAAUGAAAAAGGAGCGGGAUGGAGAAUCUAGCGGGGCUCAGUUCUUCACUCGCACAUUCUGCAGCACCAGCUACUGCAGCAACCUCUCCCCACUUUCAUUUGCCACCAGCCGUGGCUUUUCUCUUUCCAUCAUUGCUCCGAAACAUAAGCAUCACCGCUGCAGGACUCCGGGGGACGGACGGCGGGAUACGACAAGUCUCCAGGGAGAUGCUCUUGCAGCCACCGGGCGGGAGGUGGGUACCCACCCCGCCCUCAGCUACCUCGCAGUUCCGGGGCCGGCGCUGGAGCGAGUUGCUGCUCCAGGUGAUGUGCUUCUGGAGGCUGCUGGAGAGGAGAACUGUUUUUGAUUGUAUACAUGCGACUGCAUGGGCAUGAGACAUGAAAGUAAUGGAAAUAAUCCCUGUCAUGUCAAGGUGAAUGGCCUGUAGUAAGUAGUACAAUUACUAUUAUUUAUUUUUAAACUAAAAUUAUUGCCCUUAAUUCAGUUUUUU